rnacentral:misc_RNA from 1 species
UUUCCGUAGGUGAACCUGCGGAAGGAUCAUUGUUGUUGCCCGUACGAAACACGGAUGACCCGGGAAUGAGUUAACCCACCAAGGGGGAGGUGAGGCGCCCGCGUCACCGUCGAUCCCUCGGCCGUUCGGACAGGCGGCGGACAAGCCGCGUGUCCCGCGGUCGAAACGCAAAAUCGGCACGGGAAGUGCCAAGGAAAUCGAACCACGAAGACUCCCUCGGGGGUGCUUUGCUGACCCUCCGAGCGGAAGUCGCAUGUGUCAAUGGCAAAAUGACUCUCGACAACGGAUAUCUUGGCUCUUGCAUCGAUGAAGAACGCAGCGAAAUGCGAUACUUGGUGUGAAUUGCAGAAUCCCGUGAAUCAUCGAGUUUUUGAACGCAAGUUGCGCCCGAAGCCAAUGUCUGGCCGAGGGCACACCUGUCUGGGUGUCAUGCAUGGAGCUGCUCCCGACCUCCUCCGUCGGCGAACGGACGGGGGAGGAAGGGGGCGGAUGUUGGCCUCCCGUAUGUCGGCGUGCGGUUGGACGAAAAAUUGAGUCCUCGGCGAUGCGAGAUCGGAUGAGUUCUGGUGCAACGCCGUCCGCCCGGCAUCGUCGGGGGAACUCCCGCGACCCAUGCCUUUGCUUUCGCCGUCGAUGCGCGAAGGAACCCCCGUGUCCCC